GAUGAACGCUGGCGGCGUGCCUAAUACAUGCAAGUCGAGCGAACAGACGAGGAGCUUGCUCCUCUGACGUUAGCGGCGGACGGGCGAGUAACACGUGGAUAACCUACCUAUAAUACUGGGAUAACUUCGGGAAACCGGAGCUAAUACCGGAUAAUAUAUCGAACCGCAGGAUUCAAUAGUGAAAGACGGUUUUGCUGUCACUUAUAGAUGGAUCCGCGCCGCAUUAUCUAGUUGGUAAGGUAACGGCUUACCAAGGCAACGAUGCGUAGCCGACCUGAGAGGGUGAUCGGCCACACUGGAACUGAGACACGGUCCAGACUCCUACGGGAGGCAGCAGUAGGGAAUCUUCCGCAAUGGGCGAAAGCCUGACGGAGCAACGCCGCGUGAGUGAUGAAGGUCUUCGGAUCGUAAAACUCUGUUAUUAGGGAAGAACAAAUGUGUAAGUAACUAUGCACGUCUUGACGGUACCUAAUCAGAAAGCCACGGCUAACUACGUG
rnacentral:rRNA from 1 species